rnacentral:lncRNA from 1 species
GGCUGUUAAAUGAAUCAAUAAUUGGCAAGUCCAUUUAUUAAUUUAAAAUUCUCUGUUUUCAAGGAGAGUUAGCUUGUCAGCACGCUCAUUACCUUGUUUAGUAUUCAUAAAACCCCAAUUACAUUGUGAUCUCUACAGAUGAGAAGCCGAAGUAACUUGGUCCCGGUCACGUGCCUGGUUCUCAGCAGAUCUAGUUUUGAGGCACUGCUGGACUCCAACGCCAUGCUCUUUCCUCCUUCCCAGUCUACCUCUGGUGCUGAAUGCAGAUUUGGGGAGCUGUGGAGUAAACAACACGGGACACUUAAAGACUUCACGCCAUCUUCCCCAGGAGUUGGUGCCAUCUCAGGAAACCAUGGUCUUUGCUCAUCCAUAAGAAGCAAUUCCUCAUCUGUUCAAGUGUACCAUGAGAUGACAGUGGUUCAGCCACAUCUUCAGGCUCCACUUUUGAUUCUAGUUCUCUUGCUGUUUUCACCACAUCCGCAAUUCCUUCCUCCACCGGAGUCCUGA